rnacentral:lncRNA from 1 species
AUCAGAUAAUGCAGAGAAAUGCUGUGCUGAGGGCCUUCCCAUCUUGAAGAGUCCUGGAGCGCUUUUAACUGCGUUUCUUAACACAAGAUCUGCAUCAGUGUAAAAGUUUGGUCUUGUCUCUUUGUUGAAUCUUCUAAAUCUUUGUACUUGCAUAGAGUGAAAAGAAUUGCUCUUGAGGCAAAGGCAGAUCUAUAUUUUGAUAGUGCAUCACCUCCAU